GGAGGCGGCGUGCUAUAAUGCAGUCGAGCGGACCGACGGGAGCUUGCUCCCUUAGGUCAGCGGCGGACGCUGCAAGGGCACGUGGGUAACCUGCCUGUAAGACUGGGAUAACUCCUUUGAAACCGGGGCUAAUACCGGAUGCUUGAUUGAACCGCAUGGUUCAAUCAUAAAAGGUGGCUUUCAGCUACCACUUGCAGAUGGACCCGCGGCGCAUUAGCUAGUUGGUGAGGUAACGGCUCACCAAGGCGACGAUGCGUAGCCGACCUGAGAGGGUGAUCGGCCACACUGGGACUGAGACACGGCCCAGACUCCUACGGGAGGCAGCAGUAGGGAAUCUUCCGCAAUGGACGAAAGUCUGACGGAGCAACGCCGCGUGAGUGAUGAAGGUUUUCGGAUCGUAAAACUCUGUUGUUAGGGAAGAACAAGUACCGUUCGAAUAGGGCGGUACCUUGACGGUACCUAACCAGAAAGCCACGGCUAACUACGUGCCAGCAGCCGCGGUAAUACGUAGGUGGCAAGCGUUGUCCGGAAUUAUUGGGCGUAAAGCGCGCGCAGGCGGUUUCUUAAGUCUGAUGUGAAAGCCCCCGGCUCAACCGGGGAGGGUCAUUGGAAACUGGGGAACUUGAGUGCAGAAGAGGAGAGUGGAAUUCCACGUGUAGCGGUGAAAUGCGUAGAGAUGUGGAGGAACACCAGUGGCGAAGGCGACUCUCUGGUCUGUAACUGACGCUGAGGCGCGAAAGCGUGGGGAGCGAACAGGAUUAGAUACCCUGGUAGUCCACGCCGUAAACGAUGAGUGCUAAGUGUUAGAGGGUUUCCGCCCUUUAGUGCUGCAGCAAACGCAUUAAGCACUCCGCCUGGGGAGUACGGUCGCAAGACUGAAACUCAAAGGAAUUGACGGGGGCCCGCACAAGCGGUGGAGCAUGUGGUUUUAAUUCGAAGCAACGCGAAGAACCUUACCAGGUCUUGACAUCCUCUGACACCCUAGAGAUAGGGCUUCCCCUUCGGGGCAGAGUGACAGGUGGUGCAUGGUUGUCGUCGCUCGUGUCGUGAGAUGUUGGGUUAAGUCCCGCAAACGAGCGCCAACCCCUGGAUCUUAGUUUGUCAGCAUACAGUUGGCCACUCUUGAGGUGAACUGGCCCGUUGACGAGCGGAGGAAAGGAGGGGAGGACGUCGAAUUCAUCAUGCACGUAGAACUGGCUUACACGGUGCUACAAUGCCAGAACAAUGGGAAGCUAAAGCUGAUGAGGCCAUAACACCUAUCAUGCCACGGC
rnacentral:rRNA from 1 species